CCCGCGUCCCUCCCGGCGCCCCCGCAGGCCGCUUCCGCCCCAGGGCUGGGGACCCUUUACCGGGAAACCGUUCUGGGGCCCACGAUCGAGAACGCCGCCGUUAAGAGGGUGUUGACAUUUCUGCUUUAAGAGAUACCCGUCCCCCUCACCGCGACCUUACCCCCGCGAUGGUGCCCCCAGAUAUCCCCGCGGGGCGGGCCAGAGGGGAGCUGAGAAGGCCAAAGACAAUUUCUGGGAAGUUCCUCCGGACCCAGUAGUUCGUUUUGCUGAAAAACCCUUCGUUUUUACCUCCACGUCCUGGAAAGGACUUCAGAGUUUGGGGAUUUCCCUGCAGCUAGGAUUCUAAUUGGAAACUUGAGCUACUGAUAAUUUGCAGAAGAUUUGAAAAUUAGAAGUGAGGCCAUCUCCAGGCCAGCAGGGUCACAGGAUGUUGGGGUCCUCUGCAGCAGUGCUCCAAGAUCCAUUCGCUAGCUUCACGCCUCAACAGCCUUGGAGUGUUUAGAUUCCUGGAUCACCACCAGGGCACGGUGUUCUACAACCUAACAGUUUCAACAACACUGUCUGGAAUCAUCAUCACCUUUCUGUAGCUUCCCAGGAUAAUAAAAUCGGCGCAGACACCUUUAAACACAUUCUAAAAGUCUGGCAUCUUUAGAAAUUGUGCAGCAUAUUUUGUAAAAGUGUUCUCAUUCUGAGUUGACUGGGAUCACGUUGUGCAUGUUGGCCACUGUCAGGCACCCGAAAUUCAACCACGAAUAAAAUAUACUCCCUACCUAAGAAGGUUCUGGAUA